GAGUUAUCGUGGCUCAGAGCGAACGCUGGCGGCAGGCCUAACACAUGCAAGUCGAACGAACUCUUCGGAGUUAGUGGCGGACGGGUGAGUAACACGUGGGAACGUGCCUUUUGGUUCGGAAUAACUCAGGGAAACUUGUGCUAAUACCGAAUGUGCCCUUCGGGGAAGGAUUAUUCGCCAUUAGAGCGGCCCGCGUCUGAUUAGCUAGUUGGUGAGGUAAAGGCUCACCAAGGCGACGAUCAGUAGCUGGUCUGAGGGGAUGAUCAGCCACAUUGGGACUGAGACACGGCCCAAACUCCUACGGGAGGCAGCAGUGGGGAAUCUUGCGCAAUGGGCGAAAGCCUGACGCAGCCAUGCCGCGUGAAUGAUGAAGGUCUUAGGAUUGUAAAAUUCUUUCACCGGGGACGAUAAUGACGGUACCCGGAGAAGAAGCCCCGGCUAACUUCGUGCCAGCAGCCGCUGUAAU
rnacentral:rRNA from 1 species